AGAAUCAACGCUGGCGGCGUGCCUAACACAUGCAAGUCGCACGAGAAAGGGACUUCGGUCCUGAGUACAGUGGCGCACGGGUGAGUAACACGUGAAUCAUCUACCUUCGAGUGUGGAAAUAACUGAGAGAAAUCUUAGCUAAUACCUCAUAAUACCUACGGGUCAAAGCAGCAAUGCGCUUGAAGAGGAGUUCGCGGCAGAUUAGUUAGGUUGGCGGGGUAAUCGGCCCACCAAGACGAAUGAUCUGUA
rnacentral:rRNA from 1 species